rnacentral:misc_RNA from 1 species
GAAAUGCGAUAAGUAAUGUGAAUUGCAGAAUUCAGUGAAUUAUCGAAUCUUUGAACGCACAUUGCGCCCGCCAGUAUUCUGGCGGGCAUGCCUGUCCGAGCGUCAUUUCAACCAUCAAGCCCCCGGGCUUGUGUUGGGGACCUGCGGCUGCCCGCAGGCCCUGAAAACCAGUGGCGGGCUCGCUGUCACACCGAGCGUAGUAGCAAUCACCUCGCUCAGGGCGUGCUGCGGGUUCCGGCCGUUAAACAGCCUUACAAAACCCAAGGUUGACCUCGGAUCAGGUAGGAAGACCCGCUGAACUUAAGC